rnacentral:rRNA from 1 species
AUUGAACGCUGGCGGCACGCUUAACACACGCAAGUCGAACGGCAGCGGGGGGAGCUUGCUCCCUGCCGGCGAGUGGCGAACGGGUGAGUAACGCGUAGGGAUCUGCCUGUUAGAGGGGGAUAAGCCGUGGAAACGCGGUCUAAUACCGCAUACGCUCUAAGGAGGAAAGUAUGGGACCGAAAGGCCAUACGCUAACAGAUGAACCUGCGUUAGAUUAGCUAGUUGGUAGGGUAAAGGCCUACCAAGGUGACGAUCUAUAGCUGGUCUGAGAGGAGGACCAGCCACACUGGAACUGAGAGACGGGACAGACUACGACGGGAGGCAGCAGUGGGGAACAUUGGACAAUGGGGGCAACCCUGAUCCAGCGAUGGCGCGAGUGGGAAGAAGGCCUGAGGGCUGUAAAGCACUUGAGUUGGGGAGGAAAGCCUGAGGAUGAAUAAGCCUUGGGGGAGACGUUACCCAAAGAAUAAGCACCGGCUAACUCUGUGCCAGCCGCCGCAGUAA